UAGGGAAUCUUCGGCAAUGGACGGAAGUCUGACCGAGCAACGCCGCGUGAGUGAAGAAGGUUUUCGGAUCGUAAAGCUCUGUUGUUAGAGAAGAACGUUGGUAGGAGUGGAAAAUCUACCAAGUGACGGUAACUAACCAGAAAGGGACGGCUAACUACGUGCCAGCAGCCGCGGUAAUACGUAGGUCCCGAGCGUUGUCCGGAUUUAUUGGGCGUAAAGCGAGCGCAGGCGGUUCUUUAAGUCUGAAGUUAAAGGCAGUGGCUUAACCAUUGUACGCUGUGGAAACGGGAGGAGUUGAGUGCAGAAGGGGGGAGUGGAAUUCCAUGUGUAGCGGUGAAAUGCGUAGAUAUAUGGAGGAACACCGGUGGCGAAAGCGGCUCUCUGGUCUGUAACUGACGCUGAGGCUCGAAAGCGUGGGGAGCAAACAGG
rnacentral:rRNA from 1 species